UUAUAUGGUCAAGAAGAGAAGCGCAAACGGUGGAUGCCUUGGCAGUAAGAGGCGAAGAAGGACGUGGAAUCCUGCGAAAAGCUAUGGGGAGCUGGAAACGAGCGAUGAGCCAUAGAUGUCCGAAUGGGGGAACCCGGCUGCAGCGAUGCGGUCAUUUGCAUUUGAAUACAUAGGAUGCAAAGGCGAACUCGGGGAACUGAAACAUCUAAGUACCCGAAGGAAAAGAAAUCAAGAGAGAUUCUCCAAGUAGCGGCGAGCGAACGGGGAGGAGCCUGGCGUGAUUUAUUAUUGAACUGAGUAGAACAAUUUGGGAAAGUUGGCGAUAGAGGGUGAAAGCCCCGUAUACGAAGGUUUGAUGAGGAACUAGGCACGCGAGCAAGUAGGCCGGGACACGUGAAAUCCUGGUUGAAGAUGGGUGGACCAUCAUCCAAGGCUAAAUACUACUUACUGACCGAUAGUGAACCAGUACCGUGAGGGAAAGGUGAAAAGAACCCCGGAGAGGGGAGUGAAAUAGAAUCUGAAACCGUUUGCGUACAAGCAGUGGGAGCAUGGUUUAGGCUGUGUGACUGCGUACCUUUUGUAUAAUGGGUCAGCGAGUUACUUUCAGUGGCGAGGUUAACUGAAUAAGGGAGCCGUAGAGAAAUCGAGUCUGAAUAGGGCGAUAGUCGCUGGGAGUAGACCCGAAACCGGGCGAUCUAGCCAUGUGCAGGAUGAAGGUUGGGUAACACCAACUGGAGGUCCGAACCGGGUAAUGUUGAAAAAUUAUCGGAUGACGUGUGGCUAGGAGUGAAAGGCUAAUCAAGCCCGGAGAUAGCUGGUUCUCCCCGAAAGCUAUUUAGGUAGCGCCUCGUGAAUGAUUACUGGGGGUAGAGCACUGUUUCGGCUAGGGGGCUGUCAUGGCUUACCAAACCGAUGCAA
rnacentral:rRNA from 1 species